rnacentral:rRNA from 1 species
UACAGAGGUCCCGAGCGUUGUUCGGAUUCAUUGGGCGUAAAGCGCGCGUAGGUGGCUUCAUAAGUCCGUUGUGAAAGUCAAAGGCUCAACCUUUGAAAGCCGAUGGAUACUGUGGAGCUAGAGUACGGAAGAGGCGAGUGGAAUUCCUGGUGUAGCGGUGAAAUGCGCAGAUAUCAGGAAGAACACCCGUGGCGAAAGCGGCUCUCGUGGAACGGUACUGACGCUGAGACGCGAAAGCGUGGGGAGCGAACAGG